rnacentral:lncRNA from 1 species
CCAAAAGUGUAUGCCAAAGAGCCAUUUAAUCUCCAGGUUCAAAUUGACUGCAUAUCUCCUUGGCCCGUGAUUAUUGAAAAAACAUCCUGUCAGUUGGGUGAGCAGGUGACUGGGAAACACGAAAACAUUCUGAAGAAUGUUGAACUAAUCAACGGAGAAUCAGGAUCUGAAAUUAUUAAUCUGGUCGUAGAUGAUGAGUUCGAAUCUGCAGUUCCCUUGGGGAACUAUGUCAUUGAAUGGCGACGAGCCAGUUCAAAACGGUUUACCAAGAAGUUGGUCUCACAUUUGCCCCAAGUGAAAGUCGAAAUGAUUCCACUUUAUGCUGAAAUGUUGCUUCCUGCCGUCGCAUGGAUGCAUACUCCUCUGGCAGUCACUUAUGUACUGCGUAAUAAUUCUAGUAAUCUCCUAGAUCUUCAGCUUACAAUGGAACCUAGUGUAUCGUUCGCUUUUGCAGGCCAAAAGACUUUGACUUUAAGGAUUUUACCAGAAUCGUUCAGUAAAUUAGAUUACAAUUUCUUUCCUCUGUAUUCGGGACUGAUCACACUGCCAAGACUGAGAGUCAUCUACAAGAAUACCUCCAUAAACCCUCAAGCUAUUUUGGAAAUGUUAGAACGCAAUUUACCAAGAAUAUUUAUGUUUUGGUAAGUUGUAAGGAAGUAAUUUGUGAAUUCAACGGUUUAAGUAAGAAGCAAAGAAGAGAUAAAUUUCAGCGGUUUGUAUUUAUCAACAACUGCUAAUUUUUCUCUAUCUGCGCUCACUUGUUAAACAUUUUUAAUUUCCAUCUCUAUCCAAUAUUUUCAUGACGACCAAUGACAUCAUUGGCGUGUAUAUUUUCGAAUAUUUCAGAAUUUUUUCGUCCAUUAUGAGAUACUUUUCAGCUUUGAGUAUUUUGAUAAAAAUUCGACCCCAUGUUAUGAAGAUAGGACGGAAUUAUGAUGUCUUAAAGUUUAAAACUAGAAAGCUUAAGCUUUAAGCAGAUUAAUUUCACAUUUCACGCAGAUCUCCGUUUCCAGUAAUGACUGCUCCCAAAAAGGAAACAGCUCAAGCUCAUUGUAAUAAAAUUGAUCCAAUACAGUGGAUGCAUGCUCCUAAGGAUGCUAGCAAGCAUCUUAUAGUAAAAAACUAAUCUUAUCCAUUUCAAUUGAUUUUAUGAAAAUUACCUUUCAUACAAAUUUUGUUUCAGACAUCUACUUGUAAUUUACAUGAAUGAUUUAGACUUCCAAAAAAAAAUGGACCGCGUUAAACAGAAAGGAACCAAGCCACAUCAGCUAUUGCCAAAUUUAAUCGGGCAAUUUAAUUUUUUACAUGAAAACGGUUGUGCGGAUUUUUGUGCAAAUUUCUAUGAAUUUUCUCCAUAAUACAAAGCAAAUUCCUUAAAAUUUUCAAAGGAAUCCGCACAAACGUUCUCUCGUAAAAAAUCAAAUUCCCCUAUUAAAUUUGACAAUAGCUGAUGUGGCUUGGUUCCUUUCUGUUUAACGCGGUCCAAAUGAUGUUCUCAUAUAAAUGUUCAUGUCAUGUUUUUCGUUCAUUUUCAGCCUCAGUCAAAAGGUCAAAUAGUCGAAACAGCUGACAAUGAUCCAAAGUAAACCUGACUCCAUCAAUCGUGCUAUAAUUGAAAACAAGAGCCCCUAUCAAGAAAAAAACCGUGCUCAAGUGAAGUACCUCCUGAAUUUGCUUUUGUGAUGAAAGGCCUCCUUUAAAAUCGGGAAUCUCUAUCGCACUAGUUUAAAUGAAUCAAGAUGUAACCCUUUUUAAUCUUACUUAGACCCGGUCUAGAAGGUUGAACCUCUCGUUGCCGUCAGUCAAACUGCGCUGUUUUAUGAAACUAGUCCCAGCGAAGUAGAAGCUGACUUGUCAACUAGUUCCGCAAAAGUUUGACCAAAGUUCAAACGUGUGGGCCAGGCCUCAACUUGAGGUUUAGAGUCUCUAUGAAGUAAGGGCUUUCUGUUUAGGUAAAAAACCCCUCGAUUUCUUAUUUCGUGUUGACAUGAUACCUACAAAAUUAGCGAUCUCCUGUCCCAGUUUGGAUGAAUUAGGAUGUAGUUCAGUGAUCUACUUAUGUAAAAUUAACGUCUUGGGUGUUAGGUUGUAUCAGCGGCUUAACUGUGGAAAUAUGUUUCUUCAUUUUCAACACGGCUUACCACCAUUGUACAUCAAUUUUAAAUGGAAUACUAAUCCGUUAUUUUUUGAGAACUUUUGAUUCUACUUCUUUGUUUAAAGAAUAGAUUGUAAAAAUUCUGCUGUGCUAGGCAAACACCAAGGAACUCCAUUCCAAAUUUUGCGAGUAUUUUCUAGACAGAACGCUACAUGAAAAGGAAGCCUGAGCAAUGAGCAUUUACAUUUUGCAUGCUGUCAAUAUAAGCUCCUCAUAUUAAAGUACAGUACAUAUUCUAAAACAACAAAUUAUGUAGGUUCAAAAGUUGCUUUGUAAUAUGGUAACAUGUACAACAAAAUCGAAGAUCUAAAAUGGUGAGCCGCAGUUUUUGCUUAGCAUGACAGAGUUCCAAGCAACAAAGUUAUGUAGUAUCCACGCUCGACACUUUCAUGAAAAUACUCUAUUCUAUGAUCCGUCAGGAAUUUUUCUUUGCUAUAGAGACACCAAUUUAUUUCGUGACUGGAACGCUUUAAUUUGUGAAAAGAGAAUUUGUACCUAAUGGACAGGAUAUUCCAUGGCAACUCAUAAAUGUAAUUUUUUAGGAAGGACUGGAGGAUAAGUGAAAAAUUUAGUGUCUUAAAAUUUAACUUCGUUACAUCCAAGGGCAAUUUAUAUGCAUUACUAAAGUUAAUUUUCAUUUCAUCAUUGCUGUGGCUCAGUAAAGAUUGGACGAUGGGGUUGGUCCAGAAGCAAAUGGUAUGUUGCCAUGCUGUAAAAAAAUGAUACUUGAAUAAAUAUUGGGAGGAGUUAAAAAGAGGGGAGGUUGUAUGGUGCUUUGCACGCUUUUCUUACAGAAUAAAUUUAAUAUAAUAAUCUAAUAUAAUCUUUAAGUAUGAGAGUAAUACGAGCUUAAUGUAGUUGGAUCAUUUCCAAAGAUGGAUCGUUCGUGAUUGUAAAAUCUACUGAAAACAUUUUGGUAUUAUUUCGAUUCAUUUUAAUGUAAGUUGGCUGAUGGUCCACCACUAGACAAAUGAGGGUGCACUCAGAGUCGAAUAUGUGGAACAGCUCCUCUUGAAGCUGUGCCAGCAAGUUUUCAGGCCCGAACAGAUAAAAAGAGGAUACUAUGCCGUUGUUAGCUGCUCCAACGCGUCCAAAACUCAUGGAAAAUUAUUUGUUUCACUGUGUUGAUUUGCAUGGUGAAUGGGUGCUACAAAGAAAAAAAUGACGGGGAUGAGUUGUUGGAAUGGGUGGUGAGCAGGUAGUUCUAGCGGGAAACGUACAAUGGGAGCGAGUCUUUCAAGGAGGGCUUAGAUGGGGUUGCAAGGGGGAGGGGCUCCUAUGUCCGACCUCUAUGAUUGACUCGAUCCACUGUGCAGCGGGGCGCGGCAAGCACACCCCCCCCCCUCCAGAAAUUACACACGCUAAACAGCAGUGUCGAGCGUGGAUACUACAGUCAGCAUGUCUUCCCUUUAGUCGAAACGGAAGUUUGAAAACUGUAACAGAGGCUUCUGAAUUUAGAGGUGGGUUUUUUGCGCAAUGAUCAAUCAUGAGAUAUUAGCAGACUGAAGAGGCACUUUAUCGUGAAAUUUCCUUUCGAUCGAGUUUUUUGGGUUUUUCAUGAAAAACUGUUCAGGGAAGUAAUGCCAUAUCUAUUUGUAAUAAUUAAUAAUCGGGGUUGGUGGCAAAUAUGUAAGCUUAUGCAAACAUCAGUAAAAGAUGGUCUUUUAAGAAGGCAUCCUGAAAACUAGUAUUUACACUAGCCAUCAAGAAGAAUGACUAGAGAUGAAUAAUACUUGAUGUUAUGUUUUUAAUCCAAACGAAUUAUUGUUGUCCAAUUAAAUGAUUACUAUUGUUUAGAAUUAUUAUCUACUGCAAUCUCUGUGGUACUUGUUUGUACAUAAUUUGUUAUGUAGUCCUAUUAAAGAAUUUGUUUGAUUUUGUAUGGAUUUAAAUAGAAAAAAAAGUCUUAAAACAAAUAAAUAUUGAUUUUUUUACUACCAUCCUCUCUUUACCAGCGUUGCCGGCGGUCUAGAAAACCAGGAAAAUCAGGGAAUUUGCCACUACUAGGGAAAGUCAGGGAAUAUCUGACUCAUUUACUAAUCAUGAAAGCAUAUCACUGAUCUUCCAACUGUUUACCUUUUCUAGUCAUUUUUAAAGUUUUUCAUCCUUAAUCAGCUACUGAAAGCCUUUUUCCAUAAUUUGAUCUCAAAACAAGGAAUUCGGUCCAAAGUUUUGCAGAAGUCAGCAAAUUUGUUUUAAAGAAAAGAACAAAUUGAAAAAAAGGGUAAAAAUUUUGUUAGAAGAUCAAGGACAGUCAGGAAAUUAGAAAAGUUUGGAGUCAGGGGAAAGCCAGGGAAUUUGAAGAUAGUACAGCAACACUGUAUAUGCUCGUUCAGUUAAUUCUGGCUCAUGGCUUAAUUUAGAGAUCAAUCGAUUACCUUUCAUUUUGUGACCAAGCACAGUAAUUAUUCAGGUGAAGAAUUCUUUAAAUCAUUCAUGAUCAUCAACAGGCUAGGUGCCAAAAAAUCGAAAAUCAAGUUAGACAUGACAUUUUGCUCUGAACACUAAGGAUUACAUGCUGCAUUAUCGAACGAAUGACACAAACACUAGAGUAAUGCGUGCAACAACUGAGAGACAGUGUUAGUGGUAGUAUCUGCUGCAACAGUUGUUAAAAGUAAAAAUAUGAAUGACUGGAUAAUCAACUUUUUGGUACUUGGCCUGCUUAUUGAUGGGAAGCCCUCAGACGUUGAUCUAAAGGAUUUCAAAACCUAAUUUGUAGUGCGAAGAUCAAAUUUUUCAUCGCAAGUAUUGAGAGACAGGCUUACACUCAUUGGAAAAUUGAUUAUGCUGUUUUAUGGAAUAGAGUCAAACCCUCAAAGCUCAU